AUUAAAAUCGUCCUGCUUGAGUUG
rnacentral:piRNA from 1 species